rnacentral:rRNA from 1 species
AUGAUCAGCAGGAUCCUGAAGAGGGUCUGCGGCUUGUACCGUCAGUACAUCGGCGUUGAUGUCGAGUAUACUAGGGAAGACGAAUCUCCGCAGAGGGCAGCGGUUCUCCAGUUAUGCAUGGAGGAACUCUGUCUGGUAUACCACAUCACCGCGGUAACAAAAUGGCCCAAGAGCCUGCGCCCGUUCCUGAAGGAGGACAUGUUCUACACCUUUGCCGGCUUCAGUAUUGAAGGUGACAAAGAGAUGUUGCGAAGUUCUGGUUUGGAGAUCAACCCCGACAAGUACAUCGACAUCCAGCGCAAAUGGAGAGUUCGGUUCGAGGGAAUAAAGAGGGUUGAAGACCAUAAACUGUGGGGGAUCAGCCCACUCCGAAAUUACCUCAUCAAGUAUGCAGCGAUAGAUGCGUACGCCACCUACGAGUCUUGGAAGAGAAUUUAA